GUAAGGUGAGCUGACAGGUGAGAGUGGGACAGGUCAGGGACAGAUCAGGGACAGGUGAGAGGUGAGGGACAGGUGAGAGGGAACAAGUGAGACUGGGACAGGUGGGACUGGGACAGGUGAGAAGAAUCGGGUGGGGACAGAAGGGAGGGACAGGCGAGCUGACAGGUGGGGGUACAGGUGAGCCCAGGUGGAACAGGUGAGGGUACAGGUGAGGGACAGGUGGCACAGGUGUGGGUACAGGUGAGACAGGUGGCACAGGUACAGGUGAGGGUCAGGUUUAACAGGUGAGGGACAGGUGGCACAGGUGGCACAGGGACAGAUGAGGGACAGGUGGAACAGGUACAGGUGAGCCCAGGUGGCACAGGUGUGGGUACAGGUGAGGGACAGGUGGCACAGGUCCAGGUGUGGGUACAGGUGAGCCCAGGUGGCACAGGUACAGGUGAGCUC